rnacentral:rRNA from 1 species
AUUGAACGCUGGCGGAAUGCUUUACACAUGCAAGUCGAACGGCAGCACGGACUUCGGUCUGGUGGCGAGUGGCGAACGGGUGAGUAACAUAUCGGAACGUAUCCAAUAAUGGGGGAUAACGAGUCGAAAGAUUCGCUAAUACCGCAUACGCCCUACGGGGGAAAGCUGGGGACCUUCGGGCCUGGCGUUAAUGGAGCGGCCGAUAUCUGAUUAGCUAGUUGGUGAGGUAAAGGCUCACCAAGGCGACGGUCAGUAGCUGGUCUGAGAGGACGACAAGCCACACUGGAACUGAGACACGGUCCAGACCCCUACGGGAGGCAGCAGUGGGGAAUUUUGGACAAUGGGCGCAAGCCUGAUCCAGCCAUUCCGCGUGAGUGAAGAAGGCCUUCGGGUUGUAAAGCUCUUUCGCAAGGGAAGAAAACUUAGCCACUAACAUUGGUUGAGGUUGACGGUACCUUGAUAAGAAGCACCGGCUAACUACGUGCCAGCCGCCGCUGUAA